GCGGCUGUGUCACACAAGGACCACGUUCGAAGGGCUACUUUCGCAAUGCUACUGGAAGGUCCUCAGAAAAAUUCUUGUCCGUUCUUGAGUUUUAUCUAAGCGCAACUUUUAUCUCGUUCGAAAACCAGCUAUUUAUUCAAAAAAGGGUGUGUG
rnacentral:lncRNA from 1 species